rnacentral:rRNA from 1 species
GUUCUUAACGAUCCUUGAAAAUCCGGGUAAGAGAUUUAUUCGCACGCCAGGUCGUACCAAUAACCGCAUCAGGUCUCCAAGGUUAGCAGCCUCUGGUCAAUAGGAUAAUGCAGAUAAGGGAAUUCGGCAAAUUAGAUCCGUAACUUCGGGAAAAGGAUUGGCUCUGAGGAUUGGAUUCAAGGGCCCCAUUCAUGAACGCUUAGUCGUUAGUUGGUGCGAGGCAACGAGUGCUUUCUGACUUCGACGCUGGAUUGUGUGGGACGCUUCAUCGGCUUUCCUUGAAUAAUUAACAAUUAACUCAGAACUGAAGCGGACAAGGGGAAUCCGACUGUUUAAUAAAAACAUAGCAUUGUGAUGGCCUGAAAAGGUGUUGACACAAUGUGAAUUCUGCCCAGUGCUUUGUAAUGUCAAAGUGAAGUAAUUCAACCAAG